CCUCCACCCUUGGGCCGGCGACGCGCUCAGCCACAGGGAGGAGCCUUUGUUCCCUGUUCCCGGCAGUCACACCCUCUUAGCUGCUGCUGCUGGUUUAAGGAGGGUUCUGUGCGGAUCUAGACGCCCCCGCCUGAACAAGGUACAACUUCUCCUGAGCCUGAAUGUCCUGGAUUCCAAAGCUGGCGGCUCAUGUGGCCCCAUAAGUGGACACAGAUGGGUUUGGCUGCAAUCCACAGGGAACAGGGCAUUCAUGCUUUCUCGUUCACCAUUCAAUAUUCAAUUCUGUCUUGGGAGCUGACCCAGCACAGCAAGCCAAGAGGAGGGACAGAAAGGAACAAAGCAGUCUUCAUCCAGGGAACAUGAUUGUCCACACAGAUAAUCCAAAAGGAUCAAUGGCAGACUCUUAGAGCAAAUGAAAGCAAGCCUCAAGGUGGCCCGAUACAGGUGACCUCAUAAAAAAUCUCAAGGUGGCCAAUGCCCUAGCAAUGGCCAGUUAAAAAAAAGUGACAUAAAAGAGAUUCCAGGCGAGGUGCAGUGGCCCAUGCCUGUAAUCCCAGCACUUUGGGAGGCGAAGGCGGGUGGAUCACAAGGUCAGGAGUUCAAGACCAGACUGGCCAACAUGGUGAAACCCCAUCUUUACUAAAAAAUACAAAAACUAACUGGGCAUCGUGGCUCAUGCCUGUAAUCCCAGCUACUUGGGAGGUUAAGGUAGGAGAAUUGCUUGAACCCGGACCCGGGAGGCGGAGGUUGCCGUGAGCCGAGAUCGGGCCACUGCACUUCAGCCUGGGCUACAGAGCGAGACUCCAUCUGGAAAAAAAAAAUGGGUGGGGGGGAUUCCAGUUAUGGAGCACAAGUUACAAAGCACAGGAAGCAGAGGACUUUACGCUAAGUGAAAUAGUGAA
rnacentral:lncRNA from 13 species